rnacentral:lncRNA from 1 species
UUUUUGAAAUGAGUGGAAAGAUAGAAAGUCUCAUAAAAAUUGAAAUUAUAAAGAAUGACAUAAAAAUGUUAGAGCCAAAAAGUAGAAUAACAACUCAUUAGAUGAGCUCAAUAUAAUAGAAAUGUCAAAGGCAAGAGUUAGUAGACUGAAGAUAGAUCAAUAGAAAUUAUCCAACCUGAGCAACUGAGAGAAAAGAAUACUGAAAAAAACAAACAAACAAACAAACAAAAAAACAUGAAUAGAGUCUCAGGGACCUGUGUGAUAAUCACAAAAUGUGUAAUAUUUAUAUCAGUGGAGUCUCGGAAAGAGAAGAGAAAAUGAAGUGCAUUUUCCAAAAAACGUUAGAAAAUAAAUGGCUGAAAAGUUUAAGUUUUGUGAAAGACAUAAACUUGCAUAUUCCAGAAGCUAAGGAAACUCCAAACAGAAAAAGACAAACAAAUAAACAACUCCCCCACCCACAAAAAACCCAAGCCCAGAUACAUAAUAAUGAAACUGCUGAAAACUAAAGACAAAGUAUUAAAAACAGCCAAAGAAAAAAAUAGCACAUGACUUAUGGGGAGCAAUGUUUCAGCUGACUGUAGAUCUGUCAUAAGAAGCCAUGAAGACAGAACAAAGUGGUGUGACGUUUUAAAAGUCACUAUAAAUUUCUCAUGAAAAACUAUGAAGCCAGAAAGAAGUGGCAUGACAUUUUUUAAGUGCUGAAAGCAAAGGAAUAUUAACCCACAACUCUAUAUUCAGGAAAAUAUGCAUGACAAAUGAAGGAGAAAUAAAGAUAUUCUCAGAAGAAGGAAAACUAAGAGAAUUCUUAACCAGCAGACCUCCUUGAGAAGAACUUCUAAACAUUUCUUCUAAACAGACAGAAGAAAGAAAAUAAAACAGAUUGGCAUCAAAAACUUCCACUAUUGGAGAAGGACAUAAAUUUGUAGACUAAAGCGGCUCCAUGAAUCCCAAAGAUGAUAAACAAUAAACACAAAGAAAACCACACCAGAC